GCAGCCGCGGUAAUACGAAGGGGGCUAGCGUUGUUCGGAAUUACUGGGCGUAAAGCGCACGUAGGCGGAUCGGUCAGUUAGGGGUGAAAUCCCAGGGCUUAACCCUGGAACUGCCUCUAAUACUGCCGAUCUCGAGUUCGAGAGAGGUGAGUGGAAUUCCGAGUGUAGAGGUGAAAUUCGUAGAUAUUCGGAGGAACACCAGUGGCGAAGGCGGCUCACUGGCUCGUUCCUGACACUAAGGCACGAAAGCGUGGGGAGCAAA
rnacentral:rRNA from 1 species